rnacentral:rRNA from 1 species
AUUGAACGCUGGCGGCAGGCUUAACACAUGCAAGUCGAGCGGGGAAAGGUAGCUUGCUACCUAACCUAGCGGCGGACGGGUGAGUAAUGCUUAGGAAUCUGCCUAUUAGUGGGGGACAACAUCUCGAAAGGGAUGCUAAUACCGCAUACGUCCUACGGGAGAAAGCAGGGGACCUUCGGGCCUUGCGCUAAUAGAUGAGCCUAAGUCGGAUUAGCUAGUUGGUGGGGUAAAGGCCUACCAAGGCGACGAUCUGUAGCGGGUCUGAGAGGAUGAUCCGCCACACUGGGACUGAGACACGGCCCAGACUCCUACGGGAGGCAGCAGUGGGGAAUAUUGGACAAUGGGGGGAACCCUGAUCCAGCCAUGCCACGUGUGUGAAGAAGGCCUUUUGGUUGUAAAGCACUUUAAGCGAGGAGGAGGCUACCGAGAUUAAUACUCUUGGAUAGUGGACGUUACUCGCAGAAUAAGCACCGGCUAACUCUGUG